GCGCUUUAAGAUUAGCCUACGUCCGAUUAGCUAGUUGGUGGGGUAAAGGCUUACCAAGGCGACGAUCGGUAGCUGGUCUGAGAGGAUGGACAGCCACACUGGGACUGAGACACGGCCCAG
rnacentral:rRNA from 1 species